AUGAUCGCAAUGUAUUCCU
rnacentral:snRNA from 1 species